rnacentral:rRNA from 1 species
UCGAACGCGAAGACCCCGCAAGGGGUUUGUAGCGUGGCAAACGGGUGAGUAACACGUGGGUGACCUGCCUUCGAGUGGGGGAUAACGUCCCGAAAGGGACGCUAAUACCGCAUAACAUCCUGCUUUUUAAGAGGUGGAGAUCAAAGCUGGGGAUCGCAAGACCUAGCGCUUGAAGAGGGGCCCGCGCCUGAUUAGCUAGUUGGUGAGGUAAUGGCUCACCAAGGCAACGAUCAGUAUCCGGCCUGAGAGGGCGGACGGACACACUGGGACUGAGACACGGCCCAGACUCCUACGGGAGGCAGCAGUGGGGAAUUGUUCGCAAUGGGCGCAAGCCUGACGACGCAACGCCGCGUGGAGGAUGAAGAUCUUCGGGUCGUAAACUCCUUUCGAUCGAGACGAACGGCUUCCGGGUGAACAAUCCGGGAGAGUGACGGUACCGAGAGAAGAAGCCCCGGCUAACUCCGUGCCAGCAGCCGCGGUAAUACGGGGGGGGCAAGCGUUGUUCGGAAUUACUGGGCGUAAAGGGCUCGUAGGUGGCCAACUAAGUCAGACGUGAAAUCCCUCAGCUUAACUGGGGAACUGCGUCUGAUACUGGAUGGCUUGAGAUUGGGAGAGGGAUGCGGAAUUCCAGGUGUAGCGGUGAAAUGCGUAGAUAUCUGGAGGAACACCGGUGGCGAAGGCGGCAUCCUGGACCAACACUGACACUGAGGAGCGAAAGCCAGGGGAGCAAACGGGAUUAGAUACCCCGGUAGUCCUGGCC